UAUUACGAAUAUAUAAAUAAGGGGAAAAAGUUUGAGGUAGUUGGACUGGACUCUCCCUCUGGAUACAUCUUAUGGUCCCCACUGGCAGACUGAAGUUUGGCCAAUGGAAGCCUCUCGCUGUGCCACUGGAGAGCCACACUCAGCUUCGACUGACUCCCAGUUCUCUGCUUGGGCGAUGUUGGCAGAAGCCUCCAAAAAAGUAAAUUCCAGAGUUCACAGCCCACGUAGAAGAAUGGAGCAAUAGACACACCUCUAAGGGAUUGCACACUAAACAAGAACAAGAGAAAGAGAGAAGGAAAUCAAAAACAUUGGAAAGAAGGUACAGAGAAUUGCAGACAAAAAAAAACAAGAAAGGAAAUAUCAAUAAGAGGAAACAGCCAGAGCAACUAUCCAAGAAUGCAGAACAAAGAAAAAGCAAACAGAGCAAACAAUACAGCCAUCCCCCUCAAACCUAGGAAGACAGAUGUUAAAGAAGAAAGAACACAUCAGAAUGUUAACCAAAACACAAAGCCACAAAACAGGAACAGGCAGAGAAAAAAAAUACAUUAUACUCUCUGCUUAAUCAAAGUAUGAAGGAAGAUCCGUUCCUGCUGGAGCAAAUGGGUCUAAAGUUGUUCUCUGUCAGCAGAAGUGUCAUGGGCUCCAUUGUGCCUGCAAGGCACAGAUCCAUGCACAAAGGAGCAGCACCAGAACCAGCUCCAGGAGGCAUUGUGUCGGAUGCAGCAGGUACAUGCCUUUGAACGCAGAGGGAUUGGAGCUACUGUGCUACUCCCAAAGAAGGUUCCCUCUCCUCCCUCCCUGGCCCUCUCUGUUGGCUGUUAGAGAGGGGACAGGAUCAUGGCCUGGCCCCUCACCAUUCUGAAGAGCAGUGUAGCUCUGAGCAGCUUUUUAU